AUAUGAAGGAAGCAUGGUAAUGAGCACAGAGAAUGAAGGAAAAAAAUAGGGUCAUUAUGUCUGCUCACUUUGAUGCCCUCGGGCGAUGAUCUCGCGGGCCUGGAUUGCACCCACACCU
rnacentral:snoRNA from 1 species